GGAAAAAGGAGAAGACGGAAAAGAAAAGAUUUGUGUGCAUUAUAUGGCUUAAAGAAGUGUAAUACAUCGUUGGUUCCGCGCACCCUUGUUGUGGUGGGGGACCAGGUAAAGGGACGGACCAAAGAGAGAGCCCGGCUCCGAGUGAGAUCGUUUUCUCAGUUUUUCCUGUGAAUAGAGAAAAUAGAGAAAAUAGAGAAAAACGGAGCACUUCUAUGAUGCGGAGAAAGGCACUGGAUAUUUAACAUGGCGCUGUAAGACUAUGUCCAGGAAUACAGUAAAAAGACCAACCUAGACAGCUACUGUGGCUCAAGCACAAGCACCAAAGUGCAGAAGACUGGACUGGCAGCCACUUUGCCUGAGCAGCUUGAUGGAGAUGCCUGCAGGGAAGUCAUAUCAUUUCUCAUUCACUCUCAGGAUGAAGCAAGUGUGUUUCAGAAGAUGAAGAUGACCUUUCAAUAUCGCCGAGACCUAGUGCGUGACCCACAGAGAACCACAGAUGACUUUAAAACAUCUGUCAAAGGCUGCUGAAACAGCCUCCAAGAUGCUUGAGGAGUGGGACACAACCUUCAGGCCCAAGGUUAUCAAUGAGGCAAAACACCUGACUUCUAAAAGCUGCAGAGAAACUGACAGAGAACGAUGACAUAACUGUUUACAUCCCACUACGUGUUCGACCUGUCAUACGAUGAGUAUUUAUUUUUUUGAAUAAAAAACAAAACAAAAAGACA